rnacentral:lncRNA from 1 species
CCCAUUAUAACCAACAUCCAUCCCUCUCGUUCAGUCCCAUAUAACCGAACACCAUCACCAUCAUCCUACUUUCAAAUUUUGAUCCUUGCAGAGCUUUAGUCAUCUACACACUGGACCUCCCAACUUAUAACUUGGAUUGUAGAGAGAUAGAGAAAGGCGUAGGGAGAGAGGAAGUCAUGAGAGAGAGAGAGAGAGGGACAUCCACCCGCCCACCGGUGGCACCACGCUGCGGUUCGGGGUGCGGGCAGCGGUGGCGCACGGCCACAAAGAGGGCGGCGGCUAUGUUUUUUUUUCUCAGCACAUAAGGUGGCGGAAUAAAGCUGCAGCCGUUCAGCGGCGGUGAACAGUAGCAGCCACGGCAGUCCGGUGAUGUUUCUCCGUGUCAGGUGGUGAUGGCCACGACAGCCAGCGGUGGGGAUGGUCGGCCGGCGCCUGUAACCUUACGGCAGUGAUGGUGAUUUUUGAUUUGAGCUUACAAGAAAAACUAGUUUGUUUAGUUUGGUGUUUCGGGUCACGGUCAACCGGUCAGAUUUGGUGCGGGUUCGGGCUCAGUCAAAGCAGUCAACGGCUCGGGUCAAGUGGGUAGUUCGGGUCGACUCGGUCAACACCCGAGUCAAUUCAGGUCAACAUCGGUCAAACUUGGUCGACGACAGUCAACUCAAAGAUCCGGAAUACUAUAGACGCACGCUAGCUAAUUCACGUUCUUGGAAUGGUACUACGGAAUCACACUAAGCUAGUUUUGCACAGGAAUAUCCAGGUUGCAUUUUCAAAACUAUGGAACGGUUGGAAUAGGAGAACCCAUUGGAGAUUCGAGUACUUAGUGGCGUUCAUUUUCUAGAAGUCUUAGCUUAUUUGCUUCCGCUGUGCAAUGAAGAUACCGGUCCAGUCACACCAGCUCUGAUAUUUCGGGGUGUGACAGAGUUUCACCUCUAACUUGACAAUUUCAUAUCCUAAUAGCGUCGGUACUUAUCAAAAGAUAAGACCUACUAGAACAUAAUAUGGAAAUUUCCUUCAAGUUAAUGGACACUUGCAGCAUGUAUCUGUAAAAACUCGAGACCCAAUCUUCAUAAGCUACGGAAUAGUAUUUAUAUUCAACUUGUAUUAUGGAAUCUGGCCUAUAAAAGUGGUCUAAGCCUCAAAUUUUAUGUCUUGAUGGUCACUCUUAAGAAAAACUAGGGAUUCCAACCAUGUGCAUAACAGCCAUAUUACUAAUAUGUGUGUCAAACGUCAUUUUCUUGUAGUUUAACUCGUAAAUUGUCAUUGGUAAAAUAGUUUUGAAACGAAUGUAACAAGGGUCUAUAACUGUGACCCUCUAGUUAGAAAGUUGUGUU